rnacentral:rRNA from 1 species
CCUACGUGCGGCAGCAGUGGGGAAUAUUGGACAAUGGGCGAAAGCCUGAUCCAGCCAUGCCGCGUGUGUGAAGAAGGCCUUCGGGUUGUAAAGCACUUUCAGUGGGGAAGAAAGCCUUGGGGCUAAUACCCUCGAGGAAGGACAUCACCCACAGAAGAAGCACCGGCUAACUCCGUGCCAGCAGCCGCGGUAAUACGUAGGGUGCGAGCGUUAAUCGGAAUUACUGGGCGUAAAGCUCGCGUAGGCGGUCUGAUAAGCCGGUUGUGAAAGCCCCGGGCUCAACCUGGGAACGGCAUCCGGAACUGUCAGGCUAGAGUGCAGGAGAGGAAGGUAGAAUUCCCGGUGUAGCGGUGAAAUGCGUAGAGAUCGGGAGGAAUACCAGUGGCGAAGGCGGCCUUCUGGACUGACACUGACGCUGAGGUGCGAAAGCGUGGGUAGCAAACAGGAUUAGAUACCCGUGUAGUC